rfam:Clostridium argentinense CDC 2741 T732.Contig245, whole genome shotgun sequence.
GAACGCCGUGUGCGGUGAAAGUCGCAUGCACGGUGUGAAGUGGGGGAAAACAAAGCCUGACCGUUAAGACGAAGGUAGAGUUACCUAUCACUAU